rnacentral:rRNA from 1 species
AUUGAACGCUGGCGGCAUGCUUUACACAUGCAAGUCGAACGGUAACAGGUUAAGCUGACGAGUGGCGAACGGGUGAGUAAUGCAUCGGAACGUGCCCGGUCGUGGGGGAUAACGCAGCGAAAGCUGCGCUAGUACCGCAUACGAUCUGAGGAUGAAAGCGGGGGACCGUAAGGCCUCGCGCGAUCGGAGCGGCCGAUGUCAGAUUAGGUAGUUGGUGGGGUAAAGGCUCACCAAGCCGACGAUCUGUAGCUGGUCUGAGAGGACGACCAGCCACACUGGGACUGGGACACGGCCCAGACUCCUACGGGAGGCAGCAGUGGGGAAUUUUGGACAAUGGGCGCAAGCCUGAUCCAGCAAUGCCGCGUGCAGGAAGAAGGCCUUCGGGUUGUAAACUGCUUUUGUACGGAGCGAAAAGGUCUUCCCUAAUACGGGAGGCUGAUGACGGUACCGUAAGAAUAAGCGCCGGCUAACUACGUGCCAGCAGCCGCCGCCGUAA